AUACUCAGUAUAUCCUUAUAUAACUUUUUCUUUCAUUCAUCUAUUUUUUAAAAUUGAAUUUAAUGUUUUGUUUGUUUGUUUUCUGUUUUUUGAGACAAGGUCUUUCUGUGUAGUCCAGGCUGGCCUUGAACUUGCUGUGUAGCCUCAGCUGGCCUCAACCUCUCAAAGAUCCUCCUGCCUUAGCCUCCUGAGCGCUGGGAUUACAGGUGUGUGCCAGAGCAUUUCUCUCCACAGUGUCAGGCCCCAGGGAAAGCUGCUUUCGCCACCAGGCCAGCUCUCAGGGUUCGGCAGCUAAGAAGAGAUGAAGACGGAAAGCAGGAGCUCUCCGAUGUCCCCCGGUAUAGACUGCUUCAUGUGGAACACUGCCAACUUCAUCUAGGAUCAAGCUUGCUUCCGGGCAUGAAGGAAGUUCCAAAAUUAG
rnacentral:lncRNA from 1 species